rnacentral:rRNA from 1 species
GCAAGUCGAGGGGUAACAUGAUCUUCGGAUUGAUGACGACCGGCGCACGGGUGAGUAACGCGUAUGCAACCUACCCGUAGCUGAGGGAUAGCCCGAAGAAAUUCGGAUUAAUACCUCAUAAUACUUUUAGAUCACAUGAUUUAGAUUUUAAAGUUCCGACGGCUACGGAUGGGCAUGCGUGACAUUAGUUUGUUGGUGAGGUAACGGCUCACCAAGACUACGAUGUCUAGGGGUUCUGAGAGGAAGGUC